rnacentral:lncRNA from 1 species
GCCAAGCUUUUUAGUCUGUCCAUCGCUCUCUUGACAUGACUCUCAGGAAAUAAUCUUCUUUUUGUGUAUCUCGUAUUCAUAGUACAAGUUGUAACCAGAAUUCUACACCAACCAGCCGGGCAAAUAGCAUGUCAAUGGUGACAUCCAACCUCGCUAAAUUUCCCGCGUGACUUUCGGUUGCCGCCGCCACUUGGCAGAUCGCCGUCUUUUGCUUGAAUUCACUGAAUCCCUUAGGGAUUGACGUGUUCUGACUGGGCUGAAACUGCCACAUCGUGAUUAUUGCAGUCCGUGUGAUCGUUCCUCCUGAGCGACGACGAGCGUGUACGCAGGAAAGAGGAAACCAGGGUAUACAGGAUCGACAUAUCUGAAACCGACCGAUCGACACGAGAACUGCCACUGCCGACAGACUAACCAUGACACACCAUUUUUGUAUAACUGUACGGAGCACAACUAGUACGGAUGUAUCUUUUGAACAACCGCGAUUAGCACGGAAAAGGCACUCCUUUACAAAUCCACUCCUGUGGUUUAACCAGUCGGGCUGCAAGCGUAUCUCUAUCAAGUUAUCAGCCAACUCAACUAAUUGGACAGCUAGUUAGUUACUACGGCGUCGUAUCAGUUUCAGGGAUGACCUCCGGGAUAGCUUUCUAUCCGUUCUUGGCGGCUAAAUGGUCACAUCGGCCACCGUCCAAACUAGGGCGGACUCACUCAAUAUUUCCAAACGAGCUCUUGUAGUCCGAGGGGAAAAAAAUUAAUCGAAUUAAAGAAUAGGAUCCCUGUCGCAGCGUGGCCGCCUGGUGCAAUUUGUCUACUAUGUAUGCAAGAGUAUGGAGCCAAGCAGGUGGAGAGACUUGCUAAGUUAAAGUACCACAUGGCACAUCGAGUUAACUAAGACUAAGGAAUUAAUAUCUCCGAUGGCUGCUUGAUACCGAUAUGGAGUCCACAUUUGGAUUCAUCGGAUUGUUCGUGUUGAUAAGUACGAUACGAUGCUUGGGUAGCAUCUCGUUGAGUGACUAAGAUAGUUAACAUAACUAGCUAGCAAUAAGUUAGUUAACUACCUAACUAUUGAAGCAAGCGCCAUUGAACUAGAUGGCAUAAGAACCGCGAGUGCUACGAAGACAUAACUAGCAUCCAGUAUCCUGCCAUGUUGGUCGAUUGACGAUAUGCAGUCAGAGCAACUACUGCACAGUUGCAUAUAGUUAACUAUACAUCAACCCUACAGACCCGGCGUCGAUAAGGCUACAUCAAUGGCCCAUCCACACUCAGUCCAAUAGACUGGACUCGGUUUCAUUGAUACUAGCACGCCGGAGGUCAGUUGUAACCCGAGUGGAAUUUGACCGAGUCCAGUUGCUUUUUCUCGGCUCUAUUAUCAUGACGGCGAGCGACUUCGCCAACUCUAUACUCUGUAAGCCGAACUACAUCUCAAGCAUCAUGGCCCACCGUUGCUCUCGUUACCACGCCGUUGUUCUAACUACGUCAUGUACCCAUGUAGCUGUCAUACCUCAUGGAACCAAGGAUAUACAUGAGACAUUUCACGUGGUAAAAUAUGGGCCCAGGUUCUGCAUUACACGCACUCUAUUAGACUAUGGUUGACAUCCACAGUGUCCAUACUCCGUAGAUAAUAGUCUAUGUACUCCGCGGUCACAUGUUUACCCGCACAAUGGAGUACAUACCAUCUCGUUCCAAAUGAAUGAGCACAGCCUCAAGAAUGUCGGAACAUGUCGUGUGUCUGCUGCUCCAGGUAGUUAGGCUAGUCUCAUGCUGAACCAUGG